AACGAACGCUGGCGGCAGGCUUAACACAUGCAAGUCGAACGCCCCGCAAGGGGAGUGGCAGACGGGUGAGUAACGCGUGGGAAUCUACCCAGUUCUACGGAACAACAGUUGGAAACGACUGCUAAUACCGUAUACGCCCUAAGGGGGAAAGAUUUAUCGGAAUUGGAUGAGCCCGCGUUGGAUUAGCUAGUUGGUGGGGUAAUGGCCUACCAAGGCGACGAUCCAUAGCUGGUCUGAGAGGAUGAUCAGCCACACUGGGACUGAGACACGGCCCAGACUCCUACGGGAGGCAGCAGUGGGGAAUAUUGGACAAUGGGCGCAAGCUUGAUCCAGCCAUGCCGCGUGAGUGAUGAAGGCCUUAGGGUUGUAAAGCUCUUUCAGUAGGGAAGAUAAUGACGGUACCUACAGAAGAAGCCCCGGCUAACUUCGUGCCAGCAGCCGCCGUAAGAC
rnacentral:rRNA from 1 species